rnacentral:rRNA from 1 species
GAUGAACGCUAGCUACAGGCUUAACACAUGCAAGUCGAGGGGAAACGGCAUUAAGUGCUUGCACUUUUUGGACGUCGACCGGCGCACGGGUGAGUAACGCGUAUCCAACCUUCCCAUGACUAAGGGAUAACCUGCCGAAAGGCAGACUAAUACCUUAUGGUCUUCACUGACGGCAUCAGAUGUGAAGUAAAGAUUUAUCGGUUAUGGAUGGGGAUGCGUCUGAUUAGCUUGUUGGCGGGGUAACGGCCCACCAAGGCAACGAUCAGUAGGGGUUCUGAGAGGAAGGGCCCCCACAUUGGAACGGAGACACGGUCCAAACCCCAACGGGAGGCAGCAGUGGGGAAUUUUGGUCAAUGGGGGGGGGCCUAAACCAGCAAAGUAGGGGGAAGGAUGACGGCCCUAUGGGUUUUAAACUGUUUUUGUAUGGGGAUAAAGUAAAUCCCGUGUGAUUUUUUGCAGGAACCAAACAAAAAAGGACCGGCUAAUUCCGG